UCCAGACACUUCCCAGAUCUUGCUAGGACAGAAAAGGGACCCUAGGCUAAGGGCAAAAGGCAACUCAGAAGAGAGUUGCAGGAAUAAGGUUAUUAGAAGAAAGUACAAGCACCCUGCAACCCUGAAGGCAUCCAAAGCAUCUAAGGUGAUCUGAGUAGACAACAGACAACAUGUGCCAUGUUCUGUUUUCCUCUCGGCCUCUGACCAACCCAAAGGAAAAGCAGAUUCCCUAGGGAGGAAAAAACUAUGUAUUCAUUCACAUAGUAUUUACUGAGCAACUACUAUAUGUGCUUUUCCAUGCACUAAGUGCUUGGAUUUGGAAAAUUAGUGAAUUUCCCUUUUGAGCCAUUAUCGAUUUAUGUAUUGAACAUUAUGAAUUACUCUCAAAGCAAAAAUCAGUGAAUUUGAGAAGAAUGAGGACCAUCAAGCCUCAGAAACAUAAAGAACUUG
rnacentral:lncRNA from 1 species